UACGAAGGGUGCUAGCGUUGUUCGGAAUUACUGGGCGUAAAGCGCGCGUAGGCGGCUUUGUAAGUUAGAGGUGAAAGCCCGGAGCUCAACUCCGGAACUGCCUUUAAGACUGCAUCGCUAGAAUUGUGGAGAGGUGAGUGGAAUUCCGAGUGUAGAGGUGAAAUUCGUAGAUAUUCGGAAGAACACCAGUGGCGAAGGCGACUCACUGGACACAUAUUGACGCUGAGGUGCGAAAGCGUGGGGAGCAAACAGG
rnacentral:rRNA from 1 species